ACCUCAAAUCAGGAAAGGAUACCCCCUGAAUUUAAGCAUAUAACUAAGGGGAGGAAAAGAAACUAACGAGGAUUCCCCCAGUAACGGCGAGUGAAGCGGGAAGAGCUCAAAUUUGAAAUCUGGUAGCCUUCGGUUGCCCGAGUUGUAAUCUAGAGAAAUGUUUUCCGUGCCGGCCCAUGUACAAGUCCCUUGGAACAGGGCGUCAUAGAGGGUGAGAAUCCCGUCCUUGACAUGGACCCCCGGUGCUUUGUGAUACAUUUUCAACGAGUCGAGUUGUUUGGGAAUGCAGCUCAAAUUGGGUGGUAAAUUCCAUCUAAAGCUAAAUAUUGGCGAGAGACCGAUAGCGAACAAGUACCGUGAGGGAAAGAUGAAAAGCACUUUGGAAAGAGAGUUAAACAGUACGUGAAAUUGUUGAAAGGGAAACGAUUGAAGUCAGUCAUGCUCUUUGGUAUUUAUAU
rnacentral:rRNA from 12 species